UAAAAAUGCACUGAACACAUGGAAUGCGGAAAUGAACAUCCGAACAACAUGGUAACAAGCAACUGCUAUAUAUACACCAUGGUCCAUACACACCAUUACAUAGUUCCGUACAACCUUAACCGAAGAGCAAACUACUGAAAAGAUGAUAUUACUUAUCAGAGGCUUUCCAAGCUUCCUAUACAUUAUUUAUCUAUGCCUCCGGAAUUCAUCUCAUGACAUAAGCAUACCC
rnacentral:lncRNA from 1 species